rnacentral:rRNA from 1 species
AUACGGAGGAUGCGAGCGUUAUCCGGAUUUAUUGGGUUUAAAGGGAGCGUAGGCGGGAGCUUAAGUCAGCGGUUAAAUGGUGCGGCUCAACCGUGCCCUGCCGUUGAAACUGGGUUUCUUGAGAGUGCAAGAGGCGGAUGGAAUUCAUGGUGUAGCGGGGAAAUGCUUAGAUAUCAUGAAGAACUCCGAUUGCGAAGGCAGGCCGCUGGGGCACGUCUGACGCUGAUGCUCGAAGGUGCGGGAAUCAAACAGGAUUAGAUACCCUGGUAGUCCGCACGGUAAACGAUGAAUACUAGGUGUAGGGGGUAUCGACUCCCUCUGUGCCGCAGUUAACACAAUAAGUAUUCCGCCUGGGGAGUACGGCCGCAAGGUUGAAACUCAAAUGAAUUGGCGGGG